GACGAACGCUGGCGGCGUGCUUAACACAUGCAAGUCGAACGAAGAGCGAUGGAAGCUUGCUUCUAUCAAUCUUAGUGGCGAACGGGUGAGUCACGCGUAAUCAACCUGCCCUUCAGAGGGGGACAACAGUUGGAAACGACUGCUAAUACCGCAUACGAUCUAAACUCGGCAUCGAGGAUAGAUGAACGGUGGCCUCUACAUGUAAGCUAUCACUGAAGGAGGGGAUUGCGUCUGAUUAGCUAGUUGGAGGGGUAACGGCCCACCAAGGCGAUGAUCAGUAGCCGGUCUGAGAGGAUGAACGGCCACAUUGGGACUGAGACACGGCCCAGACUCCUACGGGAGGCAGCAGUGGGGAAUCUUCCGCAAUGGACGAAAGGCUGACGGAGCAACGCCGCGUGAGUGAUGACGGCCUUCGGGUUGUAAAGCUCUGUUAAUCGGGACGAAAGGCCUUCUUGCGAAUAGUGAGAAGGAUUGACGGUACCGGAAUAGAAAGCCACGGCUAACUACGUG
rnacentral:rRNA from 1 species